rnacentral:rRNA from 1 species
GACGAACCGUGCGAACGUUGUUCGGAAUCACUGGGCUUAAAGGGCGCGUAGGCGGACCGCCAAGUCGGGGGUGAAAUCUUUCGGCCCAACCGGAAAAGCGCUUCCGAUACUGGCGGCCUCGAGGGAGGUAGGGGUCGGCGGAACUGGUGGUGGAGCGGUGAAAUGCGUAGAUAUCUGGAGGAACACCGGUGGCGAAGGCGGCAUCCUGGACCGACACUGACACUGAGGAGCGAAAGCCAGGGGAGCAAACGGG